rnacentral:rRNA from 1 species
GGAAUUUCCCGAACUCCUCACUUUCUAACCCUGUGCACUUGUUUGGGAUAGUAACUCUCGCAAGAGAGCGAACUCCUAUUCACUUAUAAACACAAAGUCUAUGAAUGUAUUAAAUUUUAUAACAAAAUAAAACUUUCAACAACGGAUCUCUUGGCUCUCGCAUCGAUGAAGAACGCAGCGAAAUGCGAUAAGUAAUGUGAAUUGCAGAAUUCAGUGAAUCAUCGAAUCUUUGAACGCACCUUGCGCUCCAUGGUAUUCCGUGGAGCAUGCCUGUUUGAGUGUCAUGAAUACUUCAACCCUCCUCUUUCUUAAUGAUUGAAGAGGUGUUUGGUUUCUGAGCGCUGCUGGCCUUUACGGUCUAGCUCGUUCGUAAUGCAUUAGCAUCCGCAAUCGAACUUCGGAUUGACUUGGCGUAAUAGACUAUUCGCUGAGGAAUUCUAGUCUUCGGACUAGAGCCGGGUUGGGUUAAAGGAAGCUUCUAAUCAGAAUGUCUACAUUUUAAGAUUAGAUCUCAAAUCAGGUAGGACUACCCGCUGAACUUAAGCAUAUCAAUAAGCGGAGGAAAAGAAACUAACAAGGAUUCCCCUAGUAGCGGCGAGCGAAGCGGGAAGAGCUCAAAUUUAUAAUCUGGCACCUUCGGUGUCCGAGUUGUAAUCUCUAGAAAUGUUUUCCGCGUUGGACCGCACACAAGUCUGUUGGAAUACAGCGGCAUAGUGGUGAGACCCCCGUAUAUGGUGCGGACGCCCAGCGCUUUGUGAUACAUUUUCGAAAAGUCAAGUUGUUUGGGGAAUGCAGCCUC